GGGAAGCCUGUUUUAAGAUGAGGUUUCAUUUGAGGUCCCCCAAAGACGAUGGGGUUGAUAGGCCAGACCUGGACGCACCGCAAGGUGUGAAGGCUACUGGUACUAAUAGACCAAAACAAACACACACACCC
rnacentral:rRNA from 1 species